CUGCAGUGUGACAACACUCAUGGACCUCACCUGGGUGCAGCAGUGUCUGGCACCUUGUGGGCCAGCAUCAGCUCAUUAUGGGUUAUCCUACCCCAAAAUAUCCUGGGGAUGGAAAGUUACGUUCACAGCAAGUUCUCCACCAGUCCCACCAGGUAGUUUGGGACUCAUUUCAAAGAACUUGAAAGAGACACCCGUGGGUUGCUGACCUCUGUCAGUGAUGGUGUCUGCGGAGAUUGCAGCUGCUAUUUAUCUGCCUGCACACGGAUCACUUCGCAGUUCUCCCAGACAGUCUUCAACCACGCAUAGUGGGAGCUGUCCUAUUUUCCAUGUCGUUGUCCUCAUCCUGUUACAUCCCGCUGUGCCAACAUGCAGAGAACUUCAAGCAGAG